CGAGUGGCGAACGGGUGAGUAAUACAUCGGAACGUGCCCAAUCGUGGGGGAUAACGCAGCGAAAGCUGUGCUAAUACCGCAUACGAUCUACGGAUGAAAGCAGGGGACCGCAAGGCCUUGCGCGAAUGGAGCGGCCGAUGGCAGAUUAGGUAGUUGGUGAGGUAAAGGCUCACCAAGCCUUCGAUCUGUAGCUGGUCUGAGAGGACGACCAGCCACACUGGGACUGAGACACGGCCCAGACUCCUACGGGAGGCAGCAGUGGGGAAUUUUGGACAAUGGGCGCAAGCCUGAUCCAGCCAUGCCGCGUGCAGGAUGAAGGCCUUCGGGUUGUAAACUGCUUUUGUACGGAACGAAACGGCUCUUUCUAAUAAAGAGGGCUAAUGACGGUACCGUAAGAAUAAGCACCGGCUAACUACGUGCCAGCAGCCGCGGUAAUACGUAGGGUGCAAGCGUUAAUCGGAAUUACUGGGCGUAAAGCGUGCGCAGGCGGUGAUGUAAGACAGUUGUGAA
rnacentral:rRNA from 1 species